GAAACCAAUUUCCCAUAUGCUAACUGACAUAAACAAGAGGUUUGUUGUUUUACUUAAAAUUGCAGUUUCCAAGAACCUAUCAAUGACAUUUCAUGAGGACCGAUUGUCUCCUGUGCCUGGAGAAACCACAGGAGAAUGUGGUCACUGCUCUCUGGGCUUUUGUGCUUCUGCGGUUCUAGUGUUUACAAGAAGCUUUGGGAAGGGACUGAUUUAUAUUCUGCACGUUGAUGGUAAUGCAUUAAAAACAUUUGCCCCUUGCAGAAGAUCACCCUUAGUUCUUCCUCGGAAGAGUAUCAGAAGGUCUGGAACCUCUUUAACCGCACGCUGCCUUUCUACUUUGUUCAGAAGAUUGAGCGAGUACAGAACCUGGCCCUCUGGGAAGUCUACCAGUGGCAAAAAGGACAGAUGCAGAAGCAGAACGGAGGGAAGGCCGUGGACGAGCGGCAGCUGUUCCACGGCACCAGCGCCAUUUUUGUGGACGCCAUCUGCCAGCAGAACUUUGACUGGCGGGUCUGUGGUGUUCAUGGCACUUCCUAC
rnacentral:lncRNA from 1 species